GGCCUGACAAAGAUUUUGAUGAU
rnacentral:siRNA from 1 species